rnacentral:lncRNA from 1 species
CUGCUGACUACUGAGCAUUGUUCAAACUGCAUUUGAGGCAUCUUUGAUACCUUCUAGAAGGCUAAUUAAGCUGCUUAGAGACAAACUUCGAAGGAGGUGUGAACAUUACUGGGUGAGAAGAAUAUUUGAACCUGGGUGUGUUCAGUAGCAGAGGACCUCCAGGUGUCCUUAUGAGAGGUAUGCUUAGUAUGACUAGCCAAGAGGUAAGUCUCUUCUUUGAACCGAGCCUGUUAAGUGGCAGAAGUCAUCCCCCAUGGCAACAGUUUCCAGGGGAUCUUUCCAGAACUGCAAAGAGGCUCUGAUUUUGUUAUUGACAGAUCCAGAUCCUCCGUUUUUAUUAACAUUGUGCUCAUAUUGUAUUUUUUUUUCCUGCAAUUUGUCAUAGUUAGAAAGAAAGAAAUCCUCUGCAUUCUGAUACUUUUCUUAGAUUCCUGCCAUCUUUGCAGAGCUUAUUGAUAUGGAUCAGUUGAAGUCCCAUUGUGGUAUUGAACUUCUCACUCCCUGAUUGGAGUAAUUUAAGAGCCUCAACGUUUGUAGGAAAAUUUCCUGAGGAAACUGACCAGAGAUAUGAACAUAAAUUGUCAUUUGUUUAUAAUCAAAUUCAUUCCUCUUUAAUACAUUUUGUAUUGGAAGCUGCCAAAUCUAGCCUCAGCUUUCUGUUCCGCCUGCAACCUGGACACAGAAGCAUCCCAUUCAUACAUCCCUUCUAGUGAUAGAUUCCUCGCCAGGAACUCCCAGAGUGCACUGCCAUCUGCUCAGCUCUCAGUGGCUCGAACCCACCCUGCUUCCUAAAUUAAUGCUAAAAGCCAUUUUCUGAAGUCUUUUAGGCCACUGCUAACUCCAGCCUCAUUUCAGGUAUCAGGAUCCAUCCACUAUUCUCUAAGAAGAAACAACAGCAACAAAGCCAGGAAAUCAAACCUACCUAUGUAAGUGGAUGGCCCAAAUCA